AUUGAACGCUGGCGGCAUGCCUUACACAUGCAAGUCGAACGGUAACAGGUCUUCGGAUGCUGACGAGUGGCGAACGGGUGAGUAAUACAUCGGAACGUGCCUAGUAGUGGGGGAUAACUACUCGAAAGAGUGGCUAAUACCGCAUGAGAUCUACGGAUGAAAGCAGGGGAUCGCAAGACCUUGUGCUACUAAAGCGGCCGAUGGCAGAUUAGGUAGUUGGUGGGAUAAAAGCUUACCAAGCCGACGAUCUGUAGCUGGUCUGAGAGGACGAUCAGCCACACUGGGACUGAGACACGGCCCAGACUCCUACGGGAGGCAGCAGUGGGGAAUUUUGGACAAUGGGCGCAAGCCUGAUCCAGCAAUGCCGCGUGCAGGAUGAAGGCCUUCGGGUUGUAAACUGCUCUUGUACGGAACGAAAAGCCCUGGGUUAAUACCCUGGGGUCAUGACGGUACCGUAAGAAUAAGCACCGGCUAACUACGUGCCAGCAGCCGCGGUAACAC
rnacentral:rRNA from 1 species